AAUUUAAUCUUUUAUUCUCUACUUUUCACUUUCUUCCCAUGUCUAAAAGAACAUUCCUCCCAAGGAGCAGAAAGUACCCUGGACAGAAGUGUGAGCUUGAAAUAUUUAUGAGAAUAAAGUUGGAUAUUAAAGCCAGGAGGGAAAAAGAAGGAAAAUGUCAUUUAAAGAAAGUUGCGGAGAUGUAGAAACAAGUCGAACUGUCGGUGAUUCAGUUUUUAGGAAGAGUUUGCAGUCUCCACCAGCGAGAUCAAUUUCCAUUCUGCGCUCUCUUAAUUUCUCUUUAUGAAUGUUAUAUUGCAACAGGAAAUGAUCAGUUCAUAAUGUUAGAGUUUAAGCCAAUGUUUUAUUCCAUAGUACUGCAGGAGGACCAACUUCCCUGGAGAAGGUUCUGAAAUGAGCCAGUGAAAUACAAUCUUAAAUAUUGGCAACUUGAGGUUUUGUAACUUCACACGUUAUAUUCUUGACAGGAAUUUUUAUAAAUUAAUCCAUGCCAUAUGUCCCCAACCAAGAAAGCAGCUGGAUUUGUCUGGUGUCCUGGUUGCCUGGAAUAUUUCAUGGUUUGCUAACAAAGCUUCUGUUAAUUGAACUCUUGGGUCUUUCCCUCCACCACUACAGACAGCAUCAAAGGAAAGAUGGCCUCCAACAGACACAAAAUGUCAUCUUCCCAGCUUAAAAUCCACAACAGAAAGACAGCUGUCACAUGGCAUCCUUGGACCGGUCGUUAUUGCAUGGGAGAGAGAGUUCUGUUAUGGGCUAGGUCUGGGUCACAGGGCUGCCCACUGGAACUGCACGUGGAGGGAGGGGAUGCUGGGCAGACAAAAGCGGCUGCUCUCUACUGCAUCUUUGAGAGUGAACUAAUAGCUCUUCUUUCAACCUUUACUAAAAACCAUUUCUGUGGGAUAAAAAUGCUCGCUAAAUCAAGGAAAAAGCCUUCUUUGGAAUUGUAAAGGAAAAAUGAAGUGACAGAGGAAGACAAUGUUGAACGUUGCAAGUGAGAGUCAGAUGGUUUUAUGCUUUGCUAUCUCUCUUUUCUAGUUGGUGAGAUUUAGGAGGACUGAUUUGGACUUGUUUGUCCACGGACAGAUAUACGUGUGCAAACAAUGACUUGACUUGUUCCCGCCACAGUUUGCUCUGUAAAGCAAGUAAUGUAUUUUCUGUAAUACACGUGACGACAGCUGUUAC